GGAUCAAAGUGCUAGCUGCCCUUAAACAAGGUAGCAACACCCUCAAAUUGCGGGGAACUCCUAAAGCCUCUAGCUACCAAGCUGGCACCGAAAGGUGUCCGUGGCCGGGUUAGCAACCUCGGGUAUGGUCAUAAUGCUAGGGGAUAUCGCAAUGGACAAUCCGCAUCCAAGCUCCUACGGCGAGAUCGCUAAGGAGAAGGUUCAGAGACUUAACGGGGGUGGGUUCUUGAGAUAGUAGAACUUAAGAUAAAGUCCGUCGUGCUCGUGAAAGCGGA
rnacentral:ncRNA from 1 species